rnacentral:tRNA from 1 species
GGCGACCGCCUCGGUGGUCUAGUGGUAGAACGUCCGCCCGGAGAGCGGAAGGUCCGGGGUUCGAUCCCCAGCCGCGUCA